GGGCCCACGGGGGAAUUUUGGACAAUGGGGGCAACCCUGAUCCAGCAAUGCCGCGUGUGUGAAGAAGGCCUUCGGGUUGUAAAGCACUUUUGUCCGGAAAGAAAACGCCGUGGUUAAUACCCGUGGCGGAUGACGGUACCGGAAGAAUAAGCACCGGCUAACUACGUGCCAGCAGCCGCGGUAAUACGUAGGGUGCAAGCGUUAAUCGGAAUUACUGGAGCGUAAAGCGUGCGCAGGCGGUCCGCUAAGACAGAUGUGAAAUCCCCGGGCUUAACCUGGGAACUGCAUUUGUGACUGGCGGGCUAGAGUAUGGCAGAGGGGGGUAGAAUUCCACGUGUAGCAGUGAAAUGCGUAGAGAUGUGGAGGAAUACCGAUGGCGAAGGCAGCCCCCUGGGCCAAUACUGACGC
rnacentral:rRNA from 1 species